UACGUAGGGGGCAAGCGUUUGUCCGGAAUCAUUGGGCGUAAAGCGCGUGUAGGCGGCCCGGUAAGUCCGCUGUGAAAGUCGGGGGCUCAACCCUCGAUGCCGGUGGAUACUGUCAGGCUAGAGUGCGGAAGAGGCGAGUGGAAUUCCUGGUGUAGCGGUGAAAUGCGCAGAUAUCAGGAGGAACACCAAUAGGCGAAGGCAGCUCGCUGGGACGGUACGACGCUAAGGCGCGAAAGCGUGGGGAGCAAACAGG
rnacentral:rRNA from 1 species